UGAAGUUUUCGGAUGGAUUUAAAACAGCUUAGUGGCGGACGGGUGAGUAACGCGUGGGUAACCUGCCUCACACUGGGGGAUAACAGUUAGAAAUAGCUGCUAAUACCGCAUAAGCGCACAAUGUUGCAUGACAUGGUGUGAAAAACUCCGGUGGUGUGAGAUGGACCCGCGUCUGAUUAGCCAGUUGGCGGGGUAACGGCCCACCAAAGCGACGAUCAGUAGCCGGCCUGAGAGGGUGAACGGCCACAUUGGGACUGAGACACGGCCCAAACUCC
rnacentral:rRNA from 1 species